GUGAGGAAUAUUGGUCAAUGGGCGGGAGCCUGAACCAGCCAAGUCGCGUGAAGGAAGUAGGAUCUAUGGUUCGUAAACUUCUUUUGCAGGGGAAUAAAGUGCAGGACGUGUCCUGUUUUGUAUGUACCCUGAGAAUAAGGAUCGGCUAACUCCGUGCCAGCAGCCGCGGUAAUACGGAGGAUCCGAGCGUUAUCCGGAUUUAUUGGGUUUAAAGGGUGCGUAGGUGGUUUGAUAAGUCAGCGGUGAAAGUUUGCAGCUUAACUGUAAAAAUGCCGUUGAAACUGUCGGACUUGAGUGUAAAUGAGGUAGGCGGAAUGCGUGGUGUAGCGGUGAAAUGCAUAGAUAUCACGCAGAACUCCGAUUGCGAAGGCAGCUUACUAAGCUACAACUGACACUGAAGCACGAAAGCGUGGGGAUCAAACAGGAUUAGAAACCCCGGUAGUCC
rnacentral:rRNA from 1 species